CUGCACCAAAGUUAUUUGAGCAGUGGCUUCUCAUGUAUGCAGAUAAAGUCCUCCACCUGGCAAGGCGGGACAGGAAACUUCUCCUGGACACGGACACAAUGACAUGAGAUGCCAAAGGAGAUUUGGCACUGAGGCUACUGGCAAUUCUUCUGCCACCCCCAGUGCAUAAAGUGGGGGGAAAAAACUAUGCACCCAACUCUUCAAGAGGCAAGGAAGGCCUUCAAUGACCUCCAGCCUUUGUCCUUGGGUUGCUGAAGCGUCAUGUGAUGUAGGCUGAAAGUUACAGGCUACCGAUUCCUGCAUGCGUGACAAACCCCGGAUAGGCCCCUCCUCGCGGUAUUGACCGGACAUCACUUGUGGAGUUCGCGUAACCUGGGCAGCACUCAGCUGGCUAAAGCCUAACGGGACCGCGUACAGGCGGUUAUAAAAAUCCCACACAUCCCUGGCUCGUAAGUGCCUAACACAAGUGGGCAGUCCGGAUUCCCAAUCCAACCAUCACGUGGGUGCAACCUGUGGCGGAUCCCAUCGUCUUCACUCUUGUGUUGCCAUGGAACUAGAUCCUCCCAGGCCAAGCAAUGUGGACCAGCGUCGCAACCUGAUCACCACUUUAAUUUAGGCUUUAGCGAAUGGCUCCAAGUUUUUAAGCACACACCUUAAUCUCUUGGAAUGGAUCCUCGGACUUGAGAGACGCCAACAACGACGACGACGACGGUUGUCCUUGUGUUGCAAGUUGGAACCAAUAUGGUGGAGUACCUCCAACAGGCAGAGGUCAACAGGCCAUACCCCUAUGUCCUUGCCCUAGGAGAUGAAGGUUUUUGCUCACAGGCUUUCAUUGUCCUUGUGGGUCAAGCAGUGGAGCAGAACUCCUUGCUAGGGGCAGUGGAUGUAUGCUUUAAAAAAGUUUAUGUUUUUGACAUCAAUUUUCCAAAAUCUUGUGCCUCAGCCUGGGAGUUCCUCCAGGAGGCUGUGUAUGGGCUGGGGACCAAACCACCCUCCCCUACAGUGGCAUUUUUAAAAUCAGCACUGGCAUGUGCAUAACCAAUUUAUUUUGAGAUGUGUGCUAGAUAACUGCUGCACACAGGAUGACCUCACACACUGAAUAUAAACUAAAUGAAAUAAUCUAGUAGCCUAUGUCUUGAAUGAAUGAAUGUACAACUAAUUAAAUGUUAUAGAAUAAAAAGGUUAUAAAAUAUGGUAUGGCGCAUUUUCUUACUUAUUUUCCUUGUUAAAUUGUUUAAAUGUAUAUUGGUUGAUACCAUCUGACCCU